AUGCAUGCAUGCAUUAUACAUUUUAUAUAUAUGUAUAUAUGUAUAUAUAUAUAUAUAUAUAUGUACAUGCAAUGCAUAUUGCAUGCGUGCGUAUGA